rnacentral:rRNA from 1 species
GAUGAACGCUGGCGGCGUGCUUAACACAUGCAAGUCGAACGAUGAAGCCCAGCUUGCUGGGUGGAUUAGUGGCGAACGGGUGAGUAACACGUGAGUAACCUGCCCUUGACUCUGGGAUAAGCCUGGGAAACUGGGUCUAAUACUGGAUAUGACUUCUCAUCGCAUGGUGGGGGGUGGAAAGAUUUAUUGGUCUUGGAUGGACUCGCGGCCUAUCAGCUUGUUGGUGAGGUAAUGGCUCACCAAGGCGACGACGGGUAGCCGGCCUGAGAGGGUGACCGGCCACACUGGGACUGAGACACUGCCCAGACUCCUACGGGAGGCAGCAGUGGGGAAUAUUGCACAAUGGGCGCAAGCCUGAUGCAGCGACGCCGCGUGAGGGAUGACGGCCUUCGGGUUGUAAACCUCUUUCAGUAGGGAAGAAGCGAGAGUGACGGUACCUGCAGAAGAAGCGCCGGCUAACUACGUG